GAUGAACGCUGGCGGCGUGCCUAAUACAUGCAAGUCGAGCGAACAGACGAGGAGCUUGCUCCUCUGACGUUAGCGGCGGACGGGUGAGUAACACGUGGAUAACCUACCUAUAAGACUGGGAUAACUUCGGGAAACCGGAUCUAAUACCGUAUAAUAUAUUGAACCGCAUGGUUCAAUAGUGAAAGACGGUUUUGCUUUCCCUUAUAGCUGUAUCCGCUCCGCAUUAUCUAGUUGGUAAGGUAACGGCUUACCAAGGCAACGAUGCGUAGCCGACCUGAUAGGGUGAUCGGCCACACUGGAACUGAGACACGGUCCAGACUCCUACGGGAGGCAGCAGUAGGGAAUCUUCCGCAAUGGGCGAAAGCUUGACGGAGCAACGCCGCGUGAGUGAUGAAGGUCUACGGAUCGUAAAACUCUGUUAUUAGGGAAGAAAAAAUGUGUAAGUAACUAUGCACGUAUUGACGGUACCUAAUCAGAAAGCCACGGCUAACUACGUG
rnacentral:rRNA from 1 species